GUUUAAGAACGAAGUGUCAGCUAGUCAGCUCAAAAGGAUAGCUGCAAGUAAAAUGGAAUUCAAUCACAACGGCUCGCGGUUGGUGCGUAUCAUCAACAACGAGGUUGAGGUGGUAGACCCGCGGACGCAACGAGUUGUUCAAUCCCUCAGCAAUGGAACAAAUUUUCAGUUCACGGAGGUCGACCACGAACUGAUCCUCGAAUCCUGGAGAACUGAUGCACACCACUCAGAGUUACAGCUUCGGGAUUUACGGUUCCCGUCCUC